rnacentral:misc_RNA from 1 species
AGAGAGAGAGAGAGAGCGAGAGAGGCUAGAAUACAAAUGAUAGUGAACUGUUUGAGAUUGUGGGUUUUAGAGAGAGAAAAUGGGGUGGGGGUUUAGUGGCCACUGAGAGAGGAUUUAGAGAAGAAGUGUAGAUUGUGGGAAUGCAAAUAAUGCGAUGCUCUUUGGAAGGACCGACAAAUUGGGUGAGAGAGACAGAGCAGAGGGGCCACCAAUUGGAGUAAUUCCACAAUUCCGCGGUGAUUUCAUAUCGAAAUAGGGG